CCUACUGCUUUGAGAGAUGGUUCCGCCUGACCUGAGGAAGGGUGGAUCAAAAGGGAACACGGUGAGGAUUACCCAUCAGGGGCCGAGACCGUGGCUGCCCCCGCAACUGUGAGCGGAGAGCGACGUCCUUCAUGCCAUUGGCCUUUUCGGGCUGAUAAGGCGGACCGAGCCAUGACCCGCGAGCCAGGAGACCUGCCAUCGCUGGGCCACGACA
rnacentral:ncRNA from 2 species